UGGAAGGAUAGAAAGGCAGGGUCAUCCUCC
rnacentral:piRNA from 1 species